UUCCAAAGAGUUGAGUUCAAUUCUGGGCCUCUCCCCAGUCUUGGUAAUUUAUCUUUGGUACAGCAUUCUGCUGAGGGUCAUUGGUUUGGGGCGGUCAUCCUCAUUGACCCUCUCACAUCCGCCCUCAGCUAAUAGG